UGUUAGCUAGCUAGGCUAAUGCUAACUUAUCCACCCCGCUCGCUGAAUAAUAAUAACAACACUGUAAAUAUGAAAUUAAAUCGGAUAACUAAUUAGACGACAGAAAUGGGUUUAAAACACAGUUGCUAAUAUGCACGAAAGCGUCUAAAGAGCUAUAUUGGUUCGGCUAUUUUGUCUAGCAAGCUACCGAGGUGUCUGACUCCCUGUUGCUGCUGAUGAAAGAAGCGUUCCGUCCACUACAUUAUACGUCACACCAGCAGCAUCGCCUUAAAGUCUCAGACCGCCAUCUGCUGACUGGAGUGGGUAACGCAGUUGAGUAAAAUGUUAUUUAAUUUUCAGACAAAAAGUUAAAGGGUAGGAAUCAGAGACGACGCUAGUCCUAAAAUAUUAAAUAACCCCCCCUAAAUAAAUCAAUAUCAGUCAAUAUAUUUUUAUGUGAUUUAUUUUUUUCGUGAACCGUUCCAUCACAUCUUAAACUUCCUAUCGGGUUGGAACUUGGACCGGGGGAGGCUGCUGCUGCACCAGUGACUGUUAGACUUUCAUCAGCAAAGAUGGCGGAGAGAAACAUGAGGAGAGAGGGACCCCAACACAAAACGAAACUGGAUCCAAGAUGGCGGACAUAAAUCUACUAAUAAUAAUAAUAAUAAUUUUUAAAACGUCGUCAGUCCUAAAAUAUUAAUUACCCCUCCCCCUAAAUAAAUCAAUAUCAGUCAAUAUAUUUUUUCUGUGAUUUAUUUUUUUCGUCAACCGUUCCAUCGCAUCGUCCUAUCGGUUCGGCACUAGGACCGGGGGAGGCUGCUGCUGCACAAGUGACUGUUGGCCUUUCUUCAUCAAAGAUGGCGGACAGAAAUACGAGGAUGGAAGCAAAUGAGAGAGACGGGACUACCGUGGAUCCUCUGGGGAGCCUCAACAACCUCAUGAUGCUGACAAGGCAGAGAAGAGUCUCUCCACAUUAGAACACCCCAAGAAACACCUGCAGAGAUCCACAGGGAAGAGAACUCUCUGCUGCUCUGACUGUGGGAAGAGAUUCACCUCAUCAGGCAUUACAAUUCAUCAGCGAACACACACAGGGAGAAAUCUUAUAGCUGUGAUCAAUGUGGGAGGAGUUUUACUACAUCUAGCGUUCUGACAGUACACCAGAGAACACACACAGGAGAGAAACCUUAUAGCUGUGAUCAAUGUGGGAUGCGUUUUACUGUAUCAAGCAAUCUGAUAAGACACCAGAGAAAACACACAGGAGAGAACUUUUAGCUGUGAUCAAUGUGACAAGAGAUACUCUGAUAAAAUAUCUCUGAUCAAACAUCAGAAAAUACAUACAUGAAGUUGUUUUGAUAUCAAUGAAAUAAUGUCACAAUGUAGAAUGUUUUAACAUUGUAGGAGUAAUUUUAAUGAUGUCACAAUGUAGAAUGUUUUAACAUUGCAGUCGGAGUAUUUUAAUGAUGUUCUUCCUCACCGUUUUCCCUUUUCAAUUGAUUGCAGCAUGAUAUGGAUAUUAGUCUCAGGGGAAAAUCCAGGCUCUGAAUUGAAAGAGUAUUAUUUAACAAAAAGUGACUAACAAAAAAAGAGCUGUGUUACACUUACUGCGUUGGUUACGCACUUUAAUCAAAAUGCAUCACUUCAAAAUGUAGCUUGCUGUUUUCUACAAGUUGAAAAAGCUGCUUGGUUAAAAAAUACAUGUAAUAUGAUAAUUGUUGCAGAUGUUUGUAUAUACACACAUGAAAGCAAUAUAAUAAAUUGGUCUAUAAUCAAUUUUAUUAA